rnacentral:rRNA from 1 species
CUACGGUUCGCAGCAGUGAGGAAUAUUGCACAAUGGGGGGAACCCUGAUGCAGCAACGCCGCGUGGAGGAUGACGCAUUUCGGUGUGUAAACUCCUUUUAUAUGUCAAGAAAAUGACGGUAGCAUAUGAAUAAGCACCCGCUAACUCCGUGCCAGCAGCCGCGGUAAUACGGAGGGUGCAAGCGUUAGUCGGAAUCACUGGGCGUAAAGGACGCGUAGGCGGGUUGGAAAGUCAGGUGUGAAAUCCUACAGCUUAACUGUAGAACUGCACUUGAAACUUCUAAUCUAGAGUAUGGGAGGGGGAGAUGGAAUUAGUGGUGUAGGGGUAAAAUCCGUAGAUAUCACUAGGAAUACCUAAAGCGAAGGCGAUCUCCUGGAACAUUACUGACGCUAAGGCGUGAAAGCGUGGGGAGCAAACAGGAUUAGAUACCCUAGUAGUC